AUGGAUAAAAAGAUCGAAGUGCGCACGGAGACGAAGGAAGGUAUGCUUCGCAGUAUCAGUUGUUCUUGCCGCAAAUUGGAAUGCGCAGGCACACCAUGUUCCCACAUAUUGGGAAUUUUACAAGAAGAAACACUGCCCAGGUGUUGUGUUCCCACUAGGUGGACAAUGAGUGCAAAAUGUGCAUUCGCACCGACCAGAAAGAGCGAGAUGUAUGCAUACUCUGCAGCCCUACAAAGGUACCGUAAGCUAAGGAAUUUUAGUCACGCAGCAUGUUUCAAGGCAUGCCACUCUGAUGAGGCGUUUCAGCAUCUAAAAAGGGUUUUGGAAGGACAAGAUGUUUGCAAGGGAUCAACAAGUGAACAAGCUGAUAGCAAGGGAUCAACUAAUGCUCAGGGUAACAGCAUUAGGUUUGGCCCGUUGAUGCCACAAUCGGCUAACCUUGAUGGUGAAGGUUUCGAAAAGGUUCUGGAUCUCGUGCAUGUGCCAGGCCGAGGUGCUCCGAAGAAAAGGCUACAGGCAAAGAUGAAGAAAACUAGAACAAAGGGUAGAUGUAGCUAUUGUCAUGAGGCAGAUGGUCACAAUCGACGAUCUCAAAGAAGAACUAUGAUAGCUACAACAUUGUGCGCACGGUCGGACAGCAAGUACGUCGACGAUCAACCUGAUGUUGGCGUGUGCAUUGUCGUCUAUGUCUAG
rnacentral:rRNA from 1 species